UACGUAGGGGGCGAGCGUUGUCCGGAAUUACUGGGCGUAAAGGGUGCGCAGGCGGCCGAUUAAGUCAGAUGUGAAAUACCACGGCUCAACUGUGGGGGUGCAUUUGAAACUGGUUGGCUUGAGUGCAGGAGAGGAAAGUGGAAUUCCUAGUGUAGCGGUGAAAUGCGUAGAGAUUAGGAGGAACACCAGUGGCGAAGGCGACUUUCUGGACUGUAACUGACGCUGAGGCACGAAAGCGUGGGUAGCGAACAGGAUUAGAUACCCUGGUAGUCCACGCCGUAAACGAUGGAUACUAGGUGUAGGGGGUAUCGACCCCCCCUGUGCCGGAGUUAACGCAAUAAGUAUCCCGCCUGGGGAGUACGGCCGCAAGGCUAAAACUCAAAGGAAUUGACGGGGGCCCGCACAAGCAGCGGAGCAUGUGGUUUAAUUCGAAGCAACGCGAAGAACCUUACCAGGGCUUGACAUCCCCCUGACUGGUGCAGAGAUGCAUCUUUUCUUCGGAACAGGGGAGACAGGUGGUGCAUGGUU
rnacentral:rRNA from 1 species